GGAGAUGGAAGCAUCAAGAAGAUGAACUUUGUUGAAGGUAAUAUAAUAAUUGAUCUGAUUGUGUAAAUAUUUUUUGCAACGUUAGUAGAUAGGACUAAUUAAAUUCUUUAAGUGAAGGGUUAAAAAACACAUUUAAAACAUUUCGAUUAUAAGAGUUUCAUACCUGAAAUAUCAAACGUGUGAUUUCCUAUCAAAAUUCUUUUGCAUUGAUCGAAAUGUUGACUUUUACAUUUUCCAAAAAAAUAAAAAUACUACAACAUAUAUAUCAAUAUAUUUUCACAAGUAGGGUAUGGAAGGUGGAUGUACUGUGUACGUAGAUCAUAUCUCCAUCUUUGUGGGGUUAAAAAAGUUAUUUCUGAUAGAUCUUCGUCUCCUUAAAUGACAGGUUCACCAAUCAAGUACUUGAAGCACAAGAUUCAUGUUGUUGAUGACAAGAAUUUGGUGACCAAAUAUUCAAUGAUUGAAGGAGAUGUUAUUGGAGACAAACUUGAGUCCAUUUCCUAUGAUCUCAAAUUUGAAGCUCAUGGAAAUGGAGGAUGUGUUUGCAAGUCUAUAAUUGAGUAUCACACAAAAGGUGAUUAUGUGUUGAAGGAUGAAGAACACAAUGAAGGCAAAAAACCAGGCAUGGAACUUUUCAAGAUUGUUGAAGCAUACCUCCUCGCCAAUCCUUCUGUCUACGCUUAAGUGAUGAAAAAAGAAUCAGGUCUACACGUGAAAUAUAACGCGUUGUGACAUUAUAUAAUAAUUAAGAAAAUAAAGUAGGCUCUAAUUAAAAAGUUUAAUCUUUUAAAUGAGAUAUCAUUCUGUAGGUUUGAGUUUUCAUUGUUUUAGUGUUUUUUGUUGAGUGUGUGUUCUUUUUCCAAGUUUAUCAUGGGAAGAACUCUUAAUAAUGUAGCAACCUUUAAUUUUGCUUAUCAAAUACUUAUAUAAAAAAUAUGUUUUACUUUUCAAAAAUUAAUUGUUUCAAGUUAAGUACCUACAGUAGAAAACUGAUAACUCAAAUGAGGUUUAUAUAGUCUUUUCUAAAACUGUGGUGACCGGUUAGUGUGUACAUAUUUCGACUAAUUCACUAUAGUAUAGAAAGUGUAAGUGAUUAAUUACACAAAGGGAGUAUUACUAUUAUGUAGAAUGUUUCGACUAAUACUAUUAUGAAGUACAUAUAUCGAUUAAUUCUUUCUCAAAUUUCGUAUUAAGUUGACUAAUAUCAUAUAUAUUGAAACGAAGGAAGUAUUACUAUUACGUAGAAUGGUUGCAUCAUUCACAAUGUUACCUUUAGCAGUGGUUAUUAGUAGAGAAAAUGUACACAUUAACAUUCCUUUUUGAGACUGAAAUGAAUUUAUCCCACAUCGUUAAAGAAUAGGAACAUUUAGUUCUUUUUAAAAGAACUAGAGAGAGUGUUGUAUGCUGAGCUUAGUAAUGUGGGCUUGUAACCCAAAUGGGGGCAUUAAUGUGGUGGAAUGUUGGGCUGUCCCAGAUGGUUGGGCUUUGGUGGGCUAAUUUCUGGCUUGCCCUAUCCAAGCUCAGAGUUGGAUCACGUGGCCCAAUUGAAGAAAUGGGCUGCUGGAUUCCGAAAGUGGGGUGGACUGCGUGAGGCUGGUUUCACAGAGCAACGAACAGCUCCUGCUCUGAGCAGUGGAAGGAUAACGAGCCGGUGCUUUCUAAGUCCAAUAACGCCUGAUGGGCUGCUCCAAUUAAACCACCAUUUUUUUCUUUUGUUUCUAUAUAAAUAAAAGUUAGUAGAUAGUCGAACGUUGUUUUGCGUUCAUGAGGAAUAAAUUUGGUGCAUCGUACUUGUUUUUCCUUUCAUACUAGUAGUAUAUAUUAACAUUAUUCUCCUAAUUUUUUGUCCUUCGAUUAUCUCAUCAUUUUGUUGUUGUUAUUGUGGUAGACUAAAAUGACUUAAACUUAAGUGGAGAAAUAUGAUCAUUUAUAUAAAGGAUCCCAACUCAUUUAGGACCGAGAUAUAGCUAUUUUUAAAUAAUUGGGAUUUGAAAUAAAAAGGCACGAUUAGUGAGAAUUUGUAUAUUUGUUUCUUACUUAUUUGAGACAUAAGCAUAUAUCAUAAUUUUUGGUAGAUGAAAUUGUUGCUAAUAUACUAGCAGAAUAAGAAACGAAAGUAUAGUUUGAGAAUUAAUAGAAUUGUGUUUCCUUUAGAUAUAUUUGUAUUUGUUCAUUAAUUUUUGUACGGGUACUCGAUAUUAGAAAACUUUGAGGCAAAAACUUCUUCCCCAGUUCCUCAGUUCGUCUUUUCUAUAUGAAACUUUAAUAGUUAUUUGAAUUAAUUUGUAGACUUUCUAUAAAAAAAAUCAUUUUGUUAAAAAGCUAAAGAAUUCACUAGAUUAUCUUUUUAUAUUUAGUAUUAAAUAAUACAAAUAAUGAACUUUUAUAAGAAAAGGAGUAAACUAGCGGGAAAAUACUUAUUAAAGCCAGACUAUUAUGUUUUGGUCAUAUUAGUACAGUUAUUUAGGUUCUAAGAGUAACUUCAUAUGCUUCUUUUUUUUUUCACAUUAAUACUUUGUCUUAACUUUCUCAUGAAGAAUUAAAUUUAUAAGCAAGAUGAAAGAGAUUUAUUAACCACUAAUCAUUUAUGUGUCAAUUUUCUAGCAUCCAUUAAAAAGAAUAAUGUAAAUGAAUAUAUAAACUAAAUAAUCAAACUAGUCUUUUGAAGUGUACUCUCUUAUUUGGUCUAUAAAACAUUCUUUAUAUAAUUGAUGAACUAAUAAUCGAGUUAAAAAAUAGAAGAAAAAAAACUUUGAAGGUUUGAACACAUAAUAUAAUAUACCUAUAGCACAUGUGUUAGUAAGCAUCAUUGUUACUUUGUUAGACCAUUUAACAUAAAGUUCUCCGCGAGUAGUGCAGCGGGUGGAGCUGCUCUUUUCUUAAUCAAUGAUUUCAGAUUUAAGCUUUGGGUAUGAAAAAAAAUUCUUGAUAGGGAGUGCUACCUCUUAAAUAGGGUCUUAUCUAGCUCUAAGACGAGUGUCAUAUAUCAGGUGAAAACUCAAAUAAAACAUAAAAUUCUCCAACGGCAUUAUCUAAGAUAGUACUAUAUAUUAAUUUAAAAUAACCACCACUUUUUUUUUGUAUAGAUUUAGCAGAAGGAAUUUAUUCACCUAUAUUUGAGCUUAGAGAAUAUGAAGAUCAUGAAUUAGGAUAGAAGGUUAGUACAUAAUUUAACGUUGUCUCACGUUCAUGAGGGAUAUAUUUGGUGACAAUUUGAUGCAUUGUACUUGUUUUUCCUGUCAUACUAGUAGUAUAUAAAUAUUAUUCUCAUAGUUUUUUAUCCUUCGAUUAUCUCAUCAUCUUGUUGUUGUUAGACUAAAAUGACUUGAACUUAAGUGGAGAAAUAUGAUCAUUGAUGAUUCAUAUACCGUAUCCCAACUCAUUUAGGUUCAAGAUAUAACUAUUUUUAUAUAAUUGGAAUUUGAAAUAAAAAAACACGAUUAGUGAGAAUUUGUACAUUUGUUUCUUGAAGUGUACUCUCUUGUUUGGUCUAUAACACAUACCUUAUGUAAUUGAUGAACUAAUAGAGUUAAAAAAUAGAAAUAAAACUUUGUAGGUUUGAACACUUGAAUAUAAUAUACCCAUAACCCAUGGGUCAGUAAGCCUCAUUGUUAGACCAUUUAACAUAAAAGUUCCGCGAAUAGUGUAGUGGAUGGAGUUGCUUUUUUCUUAAUCAAAGAUUUUAGAUUUAAGCUUAGGGUAUGAAAAAACUCUUUCAUAAAGAGCAUUACCUCUCAAACAGGGUCAUAUCCGGCUCUAAUACGAGUAACAAAUAUCAUGUGAAAAAUCAAAUAAAACACAAAAUUCUCCAACGACAUUAUCUAAGAUAGUGUUCAUUUAAUAUAAAAAGAAGGCACAUUUCAAGAACAUCUAGAUAAAAUGACACAAAUGUCAAAAAUGGACUACUUUGAAUGUUGAAAUUAAGGUAAAAGGAAUUAAUUGUUGAUUUAACUCUAGACUGUCACUUGUUUUUUUACCUAUAAAUACCAUCUAACAAUAUUUCAUUAUCACACACCUCACAACAUUCUCACACAUAACAUUUUAUAUAUCUUUUUUUUUCUGUUCUAAUAACAUCAUGGGCGUCACUACCUAUACACAUGAGACCACAACACCAAUUGCCCCUACUAGGUUGUUCAAAGCUUUGGUUGCUGAUUCUGACAAUCUUAUUCCUAAGUUGAUGCCACAAGUUGAGAACAUUGAGGCUGAGGGAGAUGGAAGCAUCAAGAAGAUGAACUUUGUUGAAGGUAAUAUAAUAGUUGAUCUGAUUGUGUAAAUAUUUUUUGCAUCGUUAAUAGAUAGGACUAAUUAAAUUCCGGGUUAAUUAAAAAUUCAUUAACGUAUUUCGAUUAUAAGAGUUUCAUUACCUAAAAUAUCAAACGUGUGAGUUUCCUAUCAAAAAUUCACUAGCAUUGAUCAAAAUGUUGACUUUUACAUUUUCCAAAAAAAAAUACUACAACAUAUAUAUCAGUAUAUUUUCACAAGUAGGGUAUGGGAAGGUGGAUGUACUGUGUACGUAGAUUAUACCUCCAUCUUUGUGGGGUUAAAAAAGUUAUUUCUGAUAGAUCUUCAUCUCCUUAAAUGAUAGGUUCACCAAUCAAGUACUUGAAGCACAAGAUUCAUGUUGUUGAUGACAAGAAUUUGGUGACCAAAUAUUCAAUGAUUGAAGGAGAUGUUCUUGGAGACAAACUUGAGUCCAUUUCCUAUGUUCUCAAAUUUGAAGCUCAUGGAAAUGGAGGAUGUGUUUGCAAGUCCAUAACUGAGUACCACACAAAAGGUGAUUAUGUGUUGAAGGAUGAAGAACACAAUGAAGGCCAAAAACAAGGCAUGGAACUUUUCAAGAUUGUUGAAGCAUACCUCCUCGCCAAUCCUUCUGUCUACGCUUAAGUGAUGAAAAAAGAAUCAGGCUCACACGUGAAAUAUAACAUGUUGUGACAUUAUAUAAUAAAGUAUACUCUCAUUAAAAAAUUUAAUCUUUUAAUGAGAUGAUGGUUUGAGUUUUCAUUAAUGUUAUAGUACUUUUUGUUGAGUUGUGUGUUCUUUUUCCAAGUUUAUCAUGGGAAGAACUCUUAAUAAUGUAGCAACCUUUAAUUUCGCUUAUCAAAUACUUAUAUAUAAAAAAAAAUGUUUUACUUUUGGAAAA
rnacentral:lncRNA from 1 species